ACCCCAUGACUCGGACACUAGUUCUACCAAGGCUCAUUAGAGAGUGCUUCAGAGGAUGGCUGAAUUCACAAAACGUGGAGAAGACCGAGAGGGAGAAGUUGGCCGGUUACUACAUUUCACAAAAAAUACAGGACCUUGUGAAAAACGGAAAGAAACAAUUGAAGGAAACUGCUUAAAAAUAUGAAGUAAUGGGUGUUUUGAAAAUGUUUUCAAAUGUGUGUUAAUGUUCAUUGUGUGUUAUAAAUUAUUUUCCUGCUUCUAAUCAUUUGAUGUAUGAGUAUUUAUUUACAGACAUUCUAUACAUUCUGGUACCUUUCUGGUAAGGUAGGUGCUCUGAUCUGAAAUGAUAGAUGUUCAUUGAGCUACUGCAAUUGGGUGAGAGUGUUUCAUCAUCAUAUAUGACCAGCUUAACCAUCAAGUAAUCCCAGUUAA